UACGGAGGGGGCUAGCGUUGUUCGGAAUUACUGGGCGUAAAGCGCACGUAGGCGGCUUUGUAAGUUAGAGGUGAAAGCCCGGGGCUCAACUCCGGAAUUGCCUUUAAGACUGCAUCGCUAGAAUUGUGGAGAGGUAAGUGGAAUUCCGAGUGUAGAGGUGAAAUGCGUAGAUAUCGGAAGGAACAUCAGUGGCGAAAGCGACUUCCUGGACCAAUACUGACGCUCAUGUGCGAAAGCGUGGGGAGCGAACAGG
rnacentral:rRNA from 1 species